rnacentral:rRNA from 1 species
GACGAACGCUGGCGGCGUGCUUAACACAUGCAAGUCGAACGGAAAGGCCCUGCUUUUGUGGGGUGCUCGAGUGGCGAACGGGUGAGUAACACGUGAGUAACCUGCCCUUGACUUUGGGAUAACUUCAGGAAACUGGGGCUAAUACCGGAUAGGAGCUCCUGCUGCAUGGUGGGGGUUGGAAAGUUUCGGCGGUUGGGGAUGGACUCGCGGCUUAUCAGCUUGUUGGUGGGGUAGUGGCUUACCAAGGCUUUGACGGGUAGCCGGCCUGAGAGGGUGACCGGCCACAGAGGGACUGAGAUAGGGCCCAGACUCCAACGGGAGGCAGCGGUGGGGAAUAUUGCACAAUGGGCGGAAGCCUGAUACAGCAACGCCGCGUGCGGGAGGACGGCCUUCGGGUUGUAACCCGCUUUCGCCUGUGACGAAGCGUGAGUGACGGUAACGGGUAAAGAAGCACCGGCUAACUACGUG